rnacentral:rRNA from 1 species
UACGGAGGAUGCGAGCAUUAUCCGGAUUUAUUGGGUUUAAAGGGUGCGUAGGCGGAAUAUCAAGUCAGCGGUAAAAAUUCGGGGCUCAACCCCGUCGUGCCGUUGAAACUGAUGUUCUUGAGUGGGCGAGAAGUAUGCGGAAUGCGUGGUGUAGCGGUGAAAUGCAUAGAUAUCACGCAGAACUCCGAUUGCGAAGGCAGCAUACCGGCGCCCAACUGACGCUGAAGCACGAAAGCGUGGGUAUCGAACAGG